rnacentral:tRNA from 1 species
GGGGGUAUAGCUCAGUUGGUAGAGCAGCGGUCUCCAAAACCGCAGGUCGCGAGUUCAAGUCUUGCUGCCCCCG